GAUGAACGCUGGCGGCGUGCCUAACACAUGCAAGUCGAGCGAAGCACUUUGCUUAGAUUCUUCGGAUGAAGAGGAUUGUGACUGAGCGGCGGACGGGUGAGUAACGCGUGGGUAACCUGCCUCAUACAGGGGGAUAACAGUUAGAAAUGACUGCUAAUACCGCAUAAGACCACAGCACCGCAUGGUGCGGGGGUAAAAACUCCGGUGGUAUGAGAUGGACCCGCGUCUGAUUAGCUGGUUGGUAAGGUAACGGCUUACCAAGGCGACGAUCAGUAGCCGACCUGAGAGGGUGACCGGCCACAUUGGGACUGAGACACGGCCCAAACUCCCACGGGAGGCAGCAGUGGGGAAUAUUGCACAAUGGGGGAAACCCUGAUGCAGCGACGCCGCGUGAGCGAAGAAGUAUUUCGGUAUGUAAAGCUCUAUCAGCAGGGAAGAAAAUGACGGUACCUGACUAAGAAGCACCGGCUAAAUACGUGCCAGCAGCCGCGGUAAUACGUAUGGUGCAAGCGUUAUCCGGAUUUACUGGGUGUAAAGGGAGCGUAGACGGAUGGGCAAGUCUGAUGUGAAAACCCGGGGCUCAACCCCGGGACUGCAUUGGAAACUGUUCAUCUAGAGUGCUGGAGAGGUAAGUGGAAUUCCUAGUGUAGCGGUGAAAUGCGUAGAUAUUAGGAGGAACACCAGUGGCCAAGGCGGCUUACUGGACAGUAACUGAGGUUGAGGCUCGAAAGCGUGGGGAGCAAACAGGAUUAGAUACCCUGGUAGUCCACGCCGUAAAC
rnacentral:rRNA from 1 species